CCGUAGGUGAACCUGCGGAGGGAUCAUUACACAAAUAUGAAGGCGGGCUGGAACCUCUCGGGGUUACAGCCUUGCUGAAUUAUUCACCCUUGUCUUUUGCGUACUUCUUGUUUCCUUGGUGGGUUCGCCCACCACUAGGACAAACAUAAACCUUUUGUAAUUGCAAUCAGCGUCAGUAACAAAUUAAUAAUUACAACUUUCAACAACGGAUCUCUUGGUUCUGGCAUCGAUGAAGAACGCAGCGAAAUGCGAUAAGUAGUGUGAAUUGCAGAAUUCAGUGAAUCAUCGAAUCUUUGAACGCACAUUGCGCCCUUUGGUAUUCCAAAGGGCAUGCCUGUUCGAGCGUCAUUUGUACCCUCAAGCUUUGCUUGGUGUUGGGCGUCUUGUCUCUAGCUUUGCUGGAGACUCGCCUUAAAGUAAUUGGCAGCCGGCCUACUGGUUUCGGAGCGCAGCACAAGUCGCACUCUCUAUCAGCAAAGGUCUAGCAUCCAUUAAGCCUUUUUUUCAACUUUUGACCUCGGAUCAGGUAGGGAUACCCGCUGAACUUAAGCAUAUC
rnacentral:rRNA from 1 species